rnacentral:tRNA from 1 species
GGUGAUGGCGCUGGUGAUCCGGACUGGCUUCACAACCAUUAAAGGCAGUCU